UACGUAGGGUGCAAGCGUUGUCCGGAAUUAUUGGGCGUAAAGAGCUCGUAGGCGGUCUGUCGCGUCGGUCGUGAAAACUCGGGGCUUAACCCUGGGCCUGCAGUGGGUACGGGCAGACUAGAGUGCGGUAGGGGGAGACUGGAAUUCCUGGUGUAGCGGUGAAAUGCGCAGAUAUCAGGAGGAACACCGGUGGCGAAGGCGGGUCUCUGGGCCGUAACUGACGCUGAGGAGCGAAAGCGUGGGGAGCGAACAGG
rnacentral:rRNA from 1 species